UAUACGGGAAUCUACCUUAUAGUUUGGUUAAAUGCCUUAUAUGUAAAGAAUUAUUCGCUAUAAGAUGAGCCUUUGUAGGAUUAGGUAGUUGGUAAGGUAAUAGCUUACCAAGCCGAUGAUCCUUAAUUGGUCUGAGAGGAUGUACAAUCACACUAGAACUGAGACAAGGUCUAGACAUCUACGGAUGGCAGCAGUGGGGAAUAUUGAACAAUGAGCGAAAGCUUGAUUCAGCGAUAUAGAGUGAAUGAUGACAGCCAUUUGGUUGUAAAGUUCUUUUACCAAGGAAGAUUUUGACUUUAC
rnacentral:rRNA from 1 species